rnacentral:rRNA from 1 species
GUGCAAAGGUAGCAUAAUCAUUAGUUUUUUAAUUGAAAACUGGUAUGAAGGGUUGGACAAAAGAAAAGCUGUCUUAAGUGUAUAAGUUGAAAUUUACUUUUAAGUGAAAAGGCUUAAAUGUGUCAAAGGGACGAUAAGACCCUAUAAAGCUUUAUAUGUUAUUUAAAUUUGGUUGAUUUAUAAAAUAAAAGUUAAAUUUAAUUAUUUUAUUUUGUUGGGGCGAUGUGAGUAUAAUUUUUUUUAACUGCUUAAAAGUAAUACAAUUAUAGGUGGAAUAUAAGAUAUGAAUGAUCCUAUUUAAAGAUUAAAAGAUUAAGUUACUUUAGGGAUAACAGCGUUAUUUCUUUUGAGAGCUCAUAUCGAAAAAGAAGUUUGCGACCUCGAUGUUGAAUUAAAAUAUCUAUAUAAUGCAGUAGUUAUAAAAGAAGGUCUGUUCGACCUUUAAAUUUUUACAUGAUUUGAGUUCAAACCGGA